rnacentral:rRNA from 1 species
CAUUAUCGAAUUACAGAGGGUUGAUGCUGGCAGUUUAACUGCAUGUGCUCAUUCUCCUAAUCCAUUUACACUUGUGCACAUAACUUUUGAAGGGUAGGGUAGAACCUACCUUCGAAAUUUACAAGCUCUUAUUUGUGAUUAUGAAUGUUUGACUGCCGCAAGGCAAAAUUCUAAUACAACUUUUAACAACGGAUCUCUUGGCUCUCGCAUCGAUGAAGAACGCAGCGAAAUGCGAUAAGUAAUGUGAAUUGCAGAAUUCAGUGAAUCAUCGAAUCUUUGAACGCACCUUGCGCUCCCUGGUAUUCCGGGGAGCACGCCUGUUCGAGUGUCAUGAAACUCUCAAACAAGAUAGCUUUGUUUCUGUCUCUGUUUGGAUUUGGACUUUGCUGUGUCAAUGCGGCUGGUCUUAAAUGCAUUAGCUGGUCCUGAUGAAGGUUUGGUUCUACUCAGCGUGAUAAUUAUCUAACGUUGAGGACAGUCUCUGGACUGGCCAGGCUCUCUUUGGAUYGCUUCUAAUCAUCUUUGGAUAAUUGCUUAAUAUCUGACCUCGAAUCAGGUGGGACUACCCGCUGAACUUAAGCAUAUCAAUA